ensembl:lncRNA
AGCGUUUCAAUGCCGCAAUUGAUCGUGCUGUAUAAGGCUCUUUCUUUCGGGCUAGAGGUCCCGAAAUAUUACAUAGAAAUAUGUCCUGGAGGCCUUCUUUCAUGUAAAAGGGACCUCUCGCUCACUCAGUAGUGUAAUAGAGACCCCAGGUCUCUAGCUCACUCCAACGUGUCCUUGGCUCCUUGGUGACCUAGUUGUGAUGUCAGUUCCUGUAGAAACUGAUUCGUAUAGUGAAAGUAAUGUAAUGACCACUAUUUGUCCAAUAGGACAGCGGUCCAGAGAUAUACUGGCCAAACAACGCCAGAAAUCGAAGUAGGUUCGGCUCCGGUGGGUUUUCGGAACAUCGCAGACCAGCUGCCCGUCACCGAUUUGGACGUAAGCCGACGACAUGCGGGCGUUCGGCAGGGAGACACUCCCCGCGGGGAGAACUUUCUGCGGUUUACCGAACAACUGGGAUAAGGAUGCGAGGAGAUGUAAAUAAAGAGUCCAACUGUGUCUUUAGUUUGUCUCUCUCUGUUGGGCCUUGCUUGAUUACCA